GCCGAAGUGGCGGAACAGGCAGACGCGCACGACUCAAACUCGUGUGGGGAAACCCGUGUGGGUUCGACUCCCACCUUCGGCA
rnacentral:tRNA from 1 species